UUCAUCAUGACUUGCAUCCUAAACUUUAGAGAUUCUUUUUCUCAAACUUGAAGAAGACCUUCAGUAAUAAGAGGAAGAGAUUUGGUAGAGAAUAGGCUGAGGAAAAUAGGUUUGGAAGAGGUUGGAAGGUAGAAGAGGGUUGCUGAAAUUUUUAGACUGCAGUCUGCAAGGAUAGAAAGAGAGAAAGAUUUAGAGGACUUUUUAGAGUCUUUUGGAUGUAAAAUUUUUAUGCUUUAUAGAGGACUGAUGGAGAUUUGGGAUGCCAG
rnacentral:lncRNA from 1 species